GCCCAUGUAGUCCAACUGGUAGUAGACAGAGGACUUAAAAUCCUUACAGUGCCGGUUCGAAUCCGGCCAUGGGCACCA
rnacentral:tRNA from 1 species